rnacentral:rRNA from 1 species
GACGAACGCUGGCGGCGUGCUUAACACAUGCAAGUCGAACGGAAAGGCCUGCUUUCCCUUGUGGAUUGCGGGUACUCGAGUGGCGAACGGGUGAGUAACACGUGAGUGAUCUGCCCCCAACUUGGGUAUAAGCCUGGGGAAACUGGGUCUAAUUCCCGAUAGGACUGCAGGGUGGUGCCUGUGGUGGAAAACGAUUUUCUAGUGGUUGGGGAUGAGCUCGCGGCCUAUCAGCUUGUUGGUGGGGUAAUGGCCUACCAAGGCGGCGACGGGUAGCCGGCCUGAGAGGGUGGACGGCCACAUUGGGACUGAGAUACGGCCCAGACUCCUACGGGAGGCAGCAGUGGGGAAUAUUACACAAUGGGCGGAAGCCUGAUGCAGCGACGCCGCGUGGGGGAUGACGGCCUUCGGGUUGUAAACUCCUUUCGACCGCGAGGAAGCCACCUGGUUGGAAGGGUGGUGACGGUAGUGGUAGAAGAAGCACCGGCUAACUACGUG